rnacentral:rRNA from 1 species
UACGAAGGGUGCAAGCGUUACUCGGAAUUACUGGGCGUAAAGCGUGCGUAGGUGGUUUGUUAAGUCUGAUGUGAAAGCCCUGGGCUCAACCUGGGAAUUGCAUUGGAUACUGGCAGGCUAGAGUGCGGUAGAGGGUAGUGGAAUUCCCGGUGUAGCAGUGAAAUGCGUAGAGAUCGGGAGGAACAUCCGUGGCGAAGGCGACUACCUGGACCAGCACUGACACUGAGGCACGAAAGCGUGGGGAGCAAAC